rnacentral:rRNA from 1 species
AGGGAAUCUUCCACAAUGGACGAAAGUCUGAUGGAGCAACGCCGCGUGAGUGAUGAAGGUUUUCGGAUCGUAAAACUCUGUUGUAAGGGAAGAACCAGUACGUCAGGCAAUGGACGUACCUUGACGGUACCUUAUUAGAAAGCCACGGCUAACUACGUGCCAGCAGCCGCGGUAAUACGUAGGUGGCAAGCGUUGUCCGGAAUUAUUGGGCGUAAAGAGCGCGCAGGUGGUUGAUUAAGUCUGAUGUGAAAGCCCACGGCUUAACCGUGGAGGGUCAUUGGAAACUGGUCGACUUGAGUGCAGAAGAGGGAAGUGGAAUUCCAUGUGUAGCGGUGAAAUGCGUAGAGAUAUGGAGGAACACCAGUGGCGAAGGCGGCUUCCUGGUCUGUAACUGACGCUGAGGCGCGAAAGCAUGGGGAGCAAACA